AUGACAUCCGUAUGUCUUAUUACCUUUUGGAACUUGGGGAAAGUGCAACAGAUGAAACUUGAAGUUGGAAUUAACGACAAUGCAGGUGCUGAAAUGAUGCCAUCCACGCUAGUGCAAGACAUCCCGGAAUCCUGCUGUUGGGAGUCCCUGGCUGCCUGGUUCCAGGAUUCUCAAAAGGGCAUUUGGAGUCCAGCUUCUUCAUGGAGAUGUCUCCCAGUAGUAAUAUCUUAUCAAUUUGAAGGCUCCAGUGCACCAUUUCACCCCGCCCCCAGCAAAUGAUCUCGCCUCCCGGUUCAAGGGGGAAACAGGCCAACUGGCAGGAAUGCCGGCAGCAGAUUUCCUCAGCACCUGCCAGUACUUCUGAAUCGGAACCUUUCUUCCUCCUUUCUUCUUGUCUUCUGCCUCUGCCUGCCCAGAAACUUAGCUUCUCCCGUAUUUUUGCCCCACACCCUUAAAAAAAAAAAAAAACUAAUUCUAUUCAUUCAUCUUUCUUUUUGGCUAGAGGGCUUCCCAAUAUGGAGACAGCCAUAACUUUUUCCAAGCCCACCUCCUCACACUCUUGCUUCUUUUCUGUCCUUCUCUGCCAAAUUUCUUAAGGGGGAAAAUGCACCACCACAAAGUUGGGGGCCUGCUUAAAUGAGGACCCGUGGAACUUUCAAGAGGUUCCAUCCAGGAUGCAGAUGUGCAUAGGAGGGUCUCAGCACAGAGGCCUGGGCAGGAUGCGUAGAUGGGGCUUCACUGGCAUUUGUUGGAAUGGAAGCCAGUGAAGUUGCCCCCAGCAAGUGUGAGGAGUGAGAACAGAAGAGGGUUAAUUUGGAGUUCCCGUCAUGGUGCAGUUGUU
rnacentral:lncRNA from 1 species